GUAUUCCAAAGGUCGUAGGUUCGAAUCCCACCGUGGCCGGGCAUAUUUUUCAAGCUCGCCCGGUGUGGAUAUGCACUCAGAGUAACAUCGCAAACAUAUUAUUCACCUGAGUACAGAAUACCAACACAGAAAGAAAAAAAAAUCAUAUUACUAGAACACAUUGGUAUUGAAGGAACUAGAUACUGUUCCGAAAUAUCACUUACUCGAACCGUCGUGACCGCGUAGCUCAGUUGGAAGAGCAUUGGUCUAGUAUUCCAAAGGUCGUAGGUUCGAAUCCCACCGUGGCCGGGCAUAUUUUUCAAGCUCGCCCGGUGUGGAUAUGCACUCAGAGUAACAUCGCA
rnacentral:tRNA from 1 species